rnacentral:rRNA from 1 species
GACGAACGCUGGCGGCGUGCCUAAUACAUGCGAGUUGAGCGCUGAAGGUUGGUACUUGUACCAACUGGAUGAGCAGCGAACGGGUGAGUAACGCGUGGGGAAUCUGCCUUUGAGCGGGGGACAACAUUUGGAAACGAAUGCUAAUACCGCAUAAAAACUUUAAACACAAGUUUUAAGUUUGAAAGAUGCAAUUGCAUCACUCAAAGAUGAUCCCGCGUUGUAUUAGCUAGUUGGUGAGGUAAAGGCUCACCAAGGCGAUGAUACAUAGCCGACCUGAGAGGGUGAUCGGCCACAUUGGGACUGAGACACGGCCCAAACUCCUACGGGAGGCAGCAGUAGGGAAUCUUCGGCAAUGGACGAAAGUCUGACCGAGCAACGCCGCGGGAGUGAAGAAGGUUUUCGGAUCGUAAAACUCUGUUGGUAGAGAAGAACGUUGGUGAGAGUGGAAAGCUCAUCAAGUGACGGUAACUACCCAGAAAGGGACGGCUAACUACGUG